rnacentral:rRNA from 1 species
GCUCUCUGGGUGGCGAGUGGCGGACGGGUGAGGAAUACAUCGGAAUCUACCUUUUCGUGGGGGAUAACGUAGGGAAACUUACGCUAAUACCGCAUACGACCUUAGGGUGAAAGCGGAGGACCUUCGGGCUUCGCGCGGAUAGAUGAGCCGAUGUCGGAUUAGCUAGUUGGCGGGGUAAAGGCCCACCAAGGCGACGAUCCGUAGCUGGUCUGAGAGGAUGAUCAGCCACACUGGAACUGAGACACGGUCCAGACUCCUACGGGAGGCAGCAGUGGGGAAUAUUGGACAAUGGGCGCAAGCCUGAUCCAGCCAUGCCGCGUGGGUGAAGAAGGCCUUCGGGUUGUAAAGCCCUUUUGUUGGGAAAGAAAAGCAGUCGGUUAAUACCCGAUUGUUCUGACGGUACCCAAAGAAUAAGCACCGGCUAACUUCGUGCCAGCAGCCGCGGUAAUACGAAGGGUGCAAGCGUUACUCGGAAUUACUGGGCGUAAAGCGUGCGUAGGUGGUUGUUUAAGUCCGUUGUGAAAGCCCUGGGCUCAACCUGGGAAUUGCAGUGGAUACUGGGCAACUAGAGUGUGGUAGAGGAUGGCGGAAUUCCCGGUGUAGCAGUGAAAUGCGUAGAGAUCGGGAGGAACAUCUGUGGCGAAGGCGGCCAUCUGGACCAAC